rnacentral:lncRNA from 1 species
GUCUUUUCUCACUGUUGCUUCCCCGUGUGCGCAGAAGUCCAUCGUCUUCACUAAAUAGCAGCAUAAUGUUGGGCCGAAAGCGCGACCUUAGAGCCAGACUGCUUAGCUUCGAAUCUCAGCUCACCCUGAGGAUUCAACGGUGAACGAGACAGGAAUGAUCUCCUCUUAUGGGGAUUUCAUUCCAGUGGAAGAACUCACAUAACUCGUAAAAUAAAUAUUUUUAAAUAUCAACAAGUGCCACAAAAAAGUAAAACUGGCCACAGUGCUGAGAGGGACAGUCUCUGAAAGGACCUUUGACCGAGGCACAGCGAGGAGCCUACAGCAUUGGGGCAUAGGGAACGUUAGACCCAAAGGCCCAAAGACUGCAAGGAGCUUGACUUCGAGCCAUCCUUUGAGAGAAGUAUUUCACAAGGGACCGAAGUUGAUCCAGAUCGACUAAAGCUCUCUGGGCUUCAGUUUCCUUUUUAUACAAUAGGGAAAUUGGAUUCAGUAAUCUCUGAUGCUCCUGCCUAGCGCUGACUAUGAGAGUCAAGAAUCGGAUUUUUCCAUCCCUUCUGAGGACCUCACCCAGUGCUCCAGGACUCUUAGCCAAAAUACAUAAAACACAUAGAAGGGUGGCAGGACUUCUCUCCUUUUGAAAAGAGUAGUUGACAGAAAUCACACAAUGGAAAAAUGGGUCUUACCCUGCCCUGAAAGAGUCAAAUGGAAUGUAAUUUUUUGAGGAAGGGUGUGUAUUUUCUAGCUGUUACCCUUUGCCCCACCCAUGCUUCAGCCUACGCUUCCAUCUAAGGGGAGGCAGGGCACACAGAAUUCAAACAUUGUAUUCUUUUUUUUUUUUUUUUUUUGAGACGGAGUCUCGCACUGUCGCCGGAGUACAGUGGCGCAAUCUCGGCUCACUGCAACCUCCGCCUCCCAGGUUCAAGAGAUUCUCCUGCCUCAGCCACCCUAGUAGCUGGGAUUACAGGCGCCCACCACUAAGCCCAGCUCAUUUGUUUUUUUUUUUUUUUGAAAAGGAGUCUCACUCUGUCGCCCAGGCUGGAGUGCAGUGGCGCGAUCUCGGCUCACUGCAAGCUCCGCCUUCCGGGUUCACGCCAUUCUCCUGCCUCAGCCUCCCGAGUAGCUGGGACUACAGGCGCCCGCCACCAAGCCCGGCUAAUUUUUUGUAUUUUUAGUAGAGACGGGGUUUCACCGUGUUAGCCAGGCUGGUCUCGAUCUCCUGACCUCGUGAUCCGCCUGCCUCGGCCUCCCAAAAUGCUGGAAUUACAGGCGUGAGCCACCUCGCCCGGACUUUUUUUUUUUUUUUUUUUUUUGUAUUUUUAGUGGAGGCGGGGUUCACCAUGUUGGCAAGGCUGGUCUGGAACUCCUGACCUUGUGAUCCGCCCGCCUCAGCCUCCCAAAGUGCUGAGAUUACAGGCGUGAGCCACCGAGCCUGGCUCAAACAUUGUAAAGAGACUUAAGGGUAGCGUGAAAGAUUGAAUCACGAGGAUACACAUCACACUGACCUCUUCUUCCUCUCAAAAGCCCACUGAAAUGACAGCAGAGGAAUAAGAAGUGCAUAAAUUCACAUGGACAAAGAGACCUGGAGAAGAGACAAUGGCAGACAACAGAUGUCAACAUUUUGGAGGCCAGAGAGCACAGAUAAAUGGAAAUGACUUUAGUAGAGUGGAGAAAAAGAAGUCAUAGAGUAGGAGAAGACAGGAAAGAAGUUGAUCAAUGCUAAAGUGCACCAGAAAGGCUCAGGAAGUAGAAGCCCCUGGUGCCACUGAUGAUUCGAUGUCUCUUUUCCCACCCAGGUAGCAAACUAGAGGUUUUCCCUCUGGAAAGGCUGAACCAGAGAGACUGGACUUUAUAGGUGAGAAGGAGCAACCAUGCUGAAAAUGGGAGGAUAUGGUAAAGCCUCCAUUCUGGCCAGAGAGUCUGACUUCUCCAACAAAAGAACAUAGGAACCCUCUCUAGAAAAUUGACUAGCUUAGGGAAGAAAAUGCUUCAUGUACCAACAAUGGGAGUGAGGGUAGGGAGGUGUCUUCCUACAUAAAGAUCAUGUUCCUGCCCAAAUACUCCACAGAGAAGUCCAUCAUUCAGGAAGCCCCAUCCACACAGACCUUUCACUCAGCUUUUUAGUGCCUUGUUAUGAAUGGAUAGCCAAAGAAUGCCAGACAUUUGAAGGGAACCUGUAACAGGAAAGAUAGAAACACCCCCAGCCUGGGCAUUGUAGUAAGACCCCAACUCUGCAAAAGAACUUUAAAACUAGGCGUGGUGGCAUGCACCUGUGGUCCCAGCUACUUGGGAGGCUGAGGCAAGAGGAUUGCUGAAGCCCAGGAUUUGGAGGCUGCAGUGAGCUAUGAUGACAGCAACAGCCCCCCUCCCCCAAAAAACGAAUUCAGAGGAACCAGAGAUAAUGAAAGGAACAGAAGAAACCAUCAAAAGAAUUAUCAACAUCCACGGAGACAUUAUAUCACAUCAGGGUACAAGGGAACACAUCAGGAAAUAAGAGACUGCAUCAAGGGGCAUGGGAUGCCAAAAAAGAAAAAAGGAUAUUGAGUUUAAGAAAGAACUUUUGGCCGGCGCGGUGGCUCAUGCCUAUAGUCCCAGCACUUUGGGAGGCUGAGGCUGAAGCAGGCGGAUUGCCUGAGGUCAGGAGUUCGAGACCAGUCUGGCCAACAUGGUGAAACCCCGUCUCUACUAAAAAUACAAAAAAAUUAGCCGGGCGUGGUGGUGUGCACCUGUAAUCCCAGCUACUCGGGAGGCUGAGGCAGGGGAAUUGGGCGACAGAGCAAGACUCCAUCUCAAAAAAAAAGAAAUUUUGGGGCUGGGUGUGGUGGCUCAUGCCUAUAAUACCACCACUUUAGGAGGCCAAGGCAGGUGGAUCACUUGAGGUCAGGAGUUGGAG